rnacentral:lncRNA from 1 species
AUUCACUUGAAAGGUAAGUUUCCACGAAACUCCCUUUAUUCUUUUACUAAAGUAAGAAAAUUCAAUAAAAAAGAAGUCAGCGGUUGUUCUCGAAUUUUGUCCCCAGCCAUCAGCAUUAGGGUUUUAAACCCUAAACUGAAUUUUUUCUUUUAGUCAGCAUUAGGGUUUUAAACCCUAAACUAAACUUUUUCCAUUCAGCCAGCAUUAGGGUUUUAAACCCUAAACUGAGCUCUUCCAUGAAAUCAGCAUUAGGGUUUUAAACCCUAAACUAAAUUUUUCCCUUAGUCAGCAUUAGGGUUUUAAACCCUAAACUGAACUUUUUUCCUUUCAGCCAGCAUUAGGGUUUUAAACCCUAAACUGAAUUUUUCCCUUAGUCAGCAUUAGGGUUUUAAACCCUAAACUGAACUUUUUUCCAUGCAAUCAACAUUAGGGUUUUAAACCCUAAACUGAAUUUUUCCCUUAGUCAGCAUUAGGGUUUUAAACCCUAAACUGAACUUUUUUCCUUUCAGCCAGCAUUAGGGUUUUAAACCCUAAACUGAGCUCUUCCAUGCAAUCAGCAUUAGGGUUUUAAACCCUAAACUGAAUUUUUCCCUUAGUCAGCAUUAGAGUUUUAAACCCUAAACUGAACUUUUUUCCUUUCAGCCAGCAUUAGGGUUUUAAACCCUAAACUGAGCUCUUCCAUGCAAUCAGCAUUAGGGUUUUA